rnacentral:rRNA from 1 species
GUUAAAACCCAAAGCUCAACUUUGGGCCAGCCACCAAUACUGAAAAGCUAGAGAUUGGGAGAGGCAAGCGGAAUUGCCGGUGUAGGGGUAAAAUCCGUUGAUAUCGGCAAGAACACCAAAUGCAAAGGCAGCUUGCUAGAACAUUUCUGACGCUGUCGCACGAAAGCGUGGGGAGCGAAGAGGAUUAGAUACCCUCGUAGUCCACGCCGUAAACUCUGGACACUAGGCAUUGGAAGUAUCGACCCUUUCAGUGCCGCUAUAAAAAAGCUAACGCGUUAAGUGUCCCGCCUGGGUAGUACGGCCGCAAGGCUAAAACUCAAAGGAAUUGACGGGAACCCGCACAAGCGGUGGAGCAUGUGGUUCAAUUCGACGGUAAGCGAGAAACCUCACCAGGUCUUGACAUCCCCAGAAUCCCGGGUUAUGCCGGGAGUGCCGCAAGGAACUGGGUGACAGGUGCUGCAUGGUUGUCGUCAGCUCGUGUCGUGAGAUGUACGGUUAAGUCCGGAAACGAGCGCAACCCUUGUCCUAUGUUAAAUUUGUCAUAGGAGACUGCCAGCUUUAAGCUGGAGGAAGGAGAGGAUGACGUCAAAUCAGCAUGGCUCUUACGAUCUGGGCCACACACGUGCUACAAUGGCCGGUACAAUGGGCCGCAAAAGCGUAAGCUGGAGCUAAUCCCAUCAAAACCGGUCUCAGUUCGGAUUG